CGUGGGUAACCUGCCUUAUAGUGGGGGAUAGCCUUCGAAAGGAAGAUUAAUACCGCAUAAGAUUGUAGUAUCGCAUGAUAUAGCAAUUAAAGGAGCAAUCCGCUAUAAGAUGGACCCGCGUCGCAUUAGCUAGUUGGUGAGGUAAUGGCUCACCAAGGCGACGAUGCGUAGCCGACCUGAGAGGGUGAUCGGCCACAUUGGGACUGAGACACGGCCCAGACUCCUACGGGAGGCAGCAUG
rnacentral:rRNA from 1 species